AGGAUUAUAACUAUGUUAAAUUAUAGAUAACAAUAAUACAAUAAGAAUAAGAUCUAUCAGUUAGUUGUUAAGGUAAUGGCUUAACAAGACUAUGACGGAUAACGGUAUUACUUUGUAAUAUUCCGGAGAAGGAGCCUGAGAGAUUGCUACUAAGUCUAAGGAUUGCAGCAGGGGCGAAACUUGACCUAUGAUAUGAUAUUGAGGCAGUUAUGAGUAGUAUUUUU
rnacentral:rRNA from 1 species